ACAUUCUCAUAUCUCAUGACUGUCUCACAAAUGAACAAUAUUCAACCGUGACUCAAAUAAGAAAAUGCUCUGNUCUGCUCCGUCUUCUUAACAACAUCUUGGAUCUGAGUAAGGUGGAAUCUGGAAAACUGGUCCUAGAAGAUGCAAAAUUUGAUUUAGGAAGGGAACUUGAAGGGCUUGUAGAUAUGUUUUCUGUCCAGUGCAUUAACCACAAUGUGGAGACUGUUUUAGACUUGUCUGAUGAUAUGCCAAAGG